rnacentral:rRNA from 1 species
GAUGAACGCUAGCGGUGCGCCUAACACAUGCAAGUCGAGCGGUCAGCAAUGACAGCGGCGAACGGGUGAGUAACACGUGGGCAACCUGCCCUAGAGACUGGGAUAACGUUCCGAAAGGGACGCUAAUACCGGAUAACGCGCGAUCUGCCAAGUGGAUCGCGCCAAAUGGUAGCUUAGGCUUCUGCUCUGGGAUGGGCCCGCGCCGGAUUAGCUUGUUGGUGAGGUAACGGCUCACCAAGGCGACGAUCCGUAGCUGGUCUGAGAGGACGAUCAGCCACACUGGGACUGAGACACGGCCCAGACUCCUACGGGUGGCAG